AACGCACAUUGCGCCCGCCAGUAUUCUGGCGGGCAUGCCUGUCUGAGCGUCGUUUCGACCCUCGCGCCCGGCUUCUGUCGGGGGCGGUGUUGGGGAUCGGCCACACCCACUCCGGUGGGAGGCCGGCCCCUAAAUCCAGUGGCGACCACGCUGUAGCCUCCCCUGCGUAGUACUAAAACCACCUCGCAGGCGGAGAGCGGUGCGGCCCGCCGUAAAACCCCCCAACUUUUACAAGGUCGACCUCAGAUCAGGUAGGAAUACCCGCUGAACUUAA
rnacentral:misc_RNA from 1 species